UACGGAGGGUGCAAGCGUUGUCCGGAAUCACUGGGCGUAAAGGGCGCGUAGGUGGCCUGUGGAAGUCUGCGGUGAAAGCCCGGCGCUCAACGCCGGGUCGGCCGUGGAUACUCUCGGGCUUGAGCUUACUAGAGGCAGAUGGAAUUCCGGGUGUAGCGGUGGAAUGCGUAGAGAUCCGGAAGAACACCGGUGGCGAAGGCGGUCUGCUGGGGUAAUGCUGACACUGAUGCGCGACAGCGUGGGGAGCAAACAGG
rnacentral:rRNA from 1 species